rnacentral:rRNA from 1 species
AUUCUCAGUUCGGAUUGUAGGCUGAAACUCGCCUACAUGAAGCUGGAGUUACUAGUAAUCGCAGAUCAGAAUGCUGCGGUGAAUGCGUUCCCGGGUCUUGUACACACCGCCCGUCACACCACGGAAGUUGGGGGCGCCCGAAGCCACUUAGCUAACCCUUUUGGGAAGCGAGUGUCGAAGGUGAAAUCAAUAACUGGGGUGGAAGUCGUAACAAGGUACC